CGUGAACUUAGCGGAUACUAUGAUAGAGAUAGCACCGAAUUUUGCCAAUUCGGCAGUUCGAUCUAUGAUUUCACAUUCAUGGACAUUGAUAAGAUCCUUCCAUUUAGUAGCACCUUAGGAUGGCAUAGCCUUAACAUUAAUGGCGAGGUUCAAAAGAGGAAAGGCUUGCGGUGGAUACCUAGGCACCCAGAGACGAGGAAGGGCGUAGCAAGCGAUGAAAUGCUUCGGGGAGUUGAAAAUAAGCAUAGAUCCGGAGAUUCCCAAAUAGGUCAAGCUUUUAAACUGCCUGCUGAAUCCAUGAGCAGGCAAGAGACAACCUGGCGAACUGAAACAUCUUAG
rnacentral:rRNA from 1 species